UUAAUCGUCAACACAUGCAGCUAUUAUAAACCGCUGCCCGCCAGAGAAGUACGAGCGAAAAGCUAGAAACUCAAAGGACUUGGCGGUGCCCCACAUCAACCUAGAGGAGCCUGUCCUAUAAUCGAUACCCCACGAUAAACCUAACCUGCACUUGCCAACCAGCCUAUAUACCGCCGUCGCCAGCCUGCCUAAUGAUAGUUGCACCACAGGCAAAAUAGGACCCCCCCUAAUACGUCAGGUCAAGGUGUAGCUAAUAUGCAGGACACAGAUGGGCUACAUUUUCUUAAUAUAAGAAAACCACCGCACGCACCAUGAAAUAUAAGCCGAAAGGCGGAUUUAGUAGUAAGCCGUACAAGAAAGUCCAGCUGAAAUUUGCCCUGGGACAC
rnacentral:rRNA from 1 species